AACAUAAAUAUUUUUGUUUGUAUAUCCUUAUUUCAGCGUUACGGAUAUGGUGAACAUAGGCAUUUUUCCAAAAACUACAUUUUAGCCGCCGGAGGCGUUUGUCAAGUAAGUAUAGUUUGUAAUAGAUUCGACUUCAAUGAUUCUGGCCCUUGUGUUAAUAUUAACGGCAAAUCUGAACAAGCGCAAGCGGACAUUUCGAUUUCGUCAUUUGAAGAACUCGGCCAUUUGGACUCCGACGGCGAAGCCAAUCCAGAAGCAUUUAGUCACUCAGAAACGACAAUUACAGUCUUCCCCAAUAUCAAGAU